UCCCUACUAGCUCAGACGGUAAAGCAUCUGCCUGCAAUGCAGGAGACCCAGGUUCAAUCCCUGGGUCGGGAA
rnacentral:tRNA from 1 species